GCCAGGGUGGCCGAGCGGCUUAGGCGGCGGGCUGCAGACCCGCUUACUGGGGUUCGAAUCCUCACCCUGGCUCCA
rnacentral:tRNA from 1 species